GACGGAGGAUGCAAGCGUUAUCCGGAAUGAUUGGGCGUAAAGCGUCCGCAGGUGGCAGUUCAAGUCUGCUGUCAAAGACCGGGGCUUAACUUCGGAAAGGCAGUGGAAACUGAACAGCUAGAGUAUGGUAGGGGCAGAGGGAAUUUCCGGUGGAGCGGUGAAAUGCAUUGAGAUCGGAAAGAACACCAACGGCGAAAGCACUCUGCUGGGCCGAUACUGACACUGAGAGACGAAAGCUAGGGGAGCAAAUGGG
rnacentral:rRNA from 1 species